GAUGAAGAACGCAGCGAAAUGCGAUAAGUAAUGUGAAUUGCAGAAUUCAGUGAAUCAUCGAAUCUUUGAACGCACCUUGCGCUCUUUGGUAUUCCGAAGAGCAUGCCUGUUUGAGUGUCAUGAAAAUAUCAACCUUGACUUGGGUUUUGUGCUCUAGUCUCGGCUUGGAAUUGGGUGCUUGCCGCUUUUACGAGCGGCUCACCUUAAAUGUAUUAGCUGGAUCUGUCUUUGAGACUUGGUUUGACUUGGCGUAAUAAGUAUUUCGCUAAGGACAUUCUUCGGAGUGGCCUCGUUUCUAGGACGCUUGUCCGCUUUCCAAUACAAGUUCCACCUCGUGGACAUGACUUUUUAUUAUCUGGCCUCAAAGCAGGUAGGACUACCCGCUGAACUUAAGCAUAUCAAUAAGCGGAGGA
rnacentral:misc_RNA from 1 species